UGAUCCUGCCAGUAGUCAUAUGACUUGUACUUAAAGACUAAGCCAUGCAAUGUCUAAAGUAUAAAUAGUAUACAGUGAAACUGCGAAUGGCUACAUUAAAACAGUUAUAGUUUACUUGAUAAUUGAAUUUUACAAGGAUAACCGUAGUAAUUCUAGAGCUAAUACUUGCUGAUAAACCCGAUUCUUGGAAGGGUUGUAUUAUUAGAUAGCAAACCACCAACUCGCAAGGGUUGCUGUGGUGAAUCAUAGUAACUGAUCGAAUCUCCAAUUGGAGAUAAAUCAUUCAAGUUUCUGCUCUAUCAGCUUUCGACGGUAGGGUAUUGGCCUACCGUGGCAUUGACGGGUAACGGAGAAUUAGGGUUCGAUUCCGGAGAGGGAGCCUGAGAAACGGCUACCACAUCUAAGGAAGGCAGCAGGCGCGCAAAUUACCCAAUUCUGACACAGAGAGGUAGUGACAAGAAAUAACAAUACAGGGCAUCCAUGUCUUGUAAUUGGAAUGAAUAGAAUUUAAAUCCCUUUAUGAGUAUCGAUUGGAGGGCAAGUC
rnacentral:rRNA from 1 species